AAACCAUAAUAUAUAGUUUUAGAAAAGGGUUCUUGAACUUCAUGGACGAAAGGAGUCCAUGAAUGAACACACGCAUACCUUAGAAAGGAAACCUUGAUAAUUUGCUAGAGAGUUCUUGGAUUGGGAAACUUAAUUCUUGAUUAUCUUGGAAAAAGGCUUGAAUCUUGCUUUUGAGAGAUGAGUUUGAUGGAAACCCUAAUCUUGUGGUUGAGAGUGUAAGAGAGGGUUUUUAAGAUGCUUAACUGAAGAAAAAUGGAAAAAAUUAUGCCUUUUUAGGGUUAUAA
rnacentral:lncRNA from 1 species